CUAAGUGAUAAAUUGUUUGGUGAUAAGGUUGAUGGCUGUUGUUUAGUGUUCUCCUACCGCAAAAUGUUUAAGAUACUGAUCCUGCAUCAAAACAUCUUUAGAGGUGGUAGUCUUGGUAAUGUAUAUGGAAUUGUAGAUAACUUUGGAGGUAGUAGCCUUCAUAGUGUAAUGUAUGUGGAAUUGUAGACAACUUUGGAGGUAGUGGCCUUCAUUGUUAUGUGGAAUUGUAGACAACUUUGGAGGUAGUGGCCUUCAUAGUAUGUGUGGAAUUGUAGAUAACAUAAUGGAGGUGGUGGCCUUCAUUUAUGUUUGUAGAAUUGUAAUAGAGGUGGUGGCCUCUGUAGAGCAAAGUGGUGAAGAAAAUAUUGCAGUGAAUUGUAAUAGAGGUGGUGGCCUCUGUAUAGCAAAGUGGUGAAGAAAAUAUUGCAGCAAGUCAAAGUUCAAAUUGAGAUGCGGAGGGAAACAUUAUUAUGCAGCAGCUUAUAUGUUGGGACAAUGCCUAGGAGUUGAAAGAUAAGAAUAUAGCCAUGGUGAAGGGUUGUGAGCUAUAUAUGGUUAG
rnacentral:lncRNA from 1 species